AGGAACUCCAUAUUGUUGGUGCAUCUGAGUGUGACACGUCUAAGUGUGGAACCCAUAUUGAGUUCUUGCGAACAGAUUCGUAACCCCCUGUUUGGGAACCGAACAGAACUUGGGAGGUCCCCCCUGUUAUUGACUUAGAAUACUGACCACCCCUGGCUGUUAAACGCAAUUAAGGAGUGCUUUCCCUGGGUGGCUGUUCACAUAACCAAACACACAUGCCAAUUACUGGAGUGCUUUCCC